rnacentral:rRNA from 1 species
UACGUAGGGUGCGAGCGUUGUCCGGAAUUAUUGGGCGUAAAGAGCUCGUAGGCGGUCUGUCGCGUCGAUCGUGAAAACUUGGGGCUUAACCCUGAGCUUGCGGUCGAUACGGGCAUGACUGGAGUUCGGCAGGGGAGACUGGAAUUCCUGGUGUAGCGGUGAAAUGCGCAGAUAUCAGGAGGAACACCGGUGGCGAAGGCGGCUAUCUGGACGGUUUCUGACGCUAAGACGCGAAAGCGUGGGGAGCAAACAGG